GACGAACGCUGGCGGUGUGCUUAACACAUGCAAGUCGAACGGUAAGGCCCUUUCGGGGGUACACGAGUGGCGAACGGGGGCGUAACACGGGGGUAACCUUCCCUCAUCUCUGUUAUAACAGGCGGAAACGGUUGCUAAUACUGGAUAUGAGCUUGCAGGGCUUCUUGUGGGUUGGAAAGAUUUUUGUUGGUUGGGGAUGUACUCGCGGCGUAUCAGCUUUUUGGUGAGGACGUGGCUCACCAAGGCUUCGACGGGUAGCCGGCCUGCGAGUGCGACCGCACACACUGGGAUUGAGCUACGGGCCACAGUCCUACGGGAGGCAGAAGGGGCGAAUACUGCAUCAUGGCAGGACGUCUGAUGCAGCAACGCCGCGUGCGGGAUGACGGCCUUCGGGUUGUAAACAGCUUUCAAUUGUGACGAAGCUCUUUUGUGACGGUAGCAGUAGAAGAAGCACCGGCUAACUACGUG
rnacentral:rRNA from 1 species